CUAUAAGUGUCCAGCCUUCCAUGUACACAUUCCUAGACCACCAAGUGGAGUUCAUUAUCCAAAUAAGUCUAUCCUCAAGAAGCAUGUUAAACCCACACCAUUUUUUUGGCAUGAGAAGUCUGCUGUUGUUGGACGGUUGCAUUCUUUAAGCUAAACAAAUGGACUCACAACAAAGACAAGUGCACAAAGGAUGAUGAAUUGAAGGAUGGAGCAAGUUUCACGCAUGGUUUACUUUUGUGUAUCUUGUAAUGUUUCUAUUUUUCAUUUUUGAAGUAAAAAUUGUUCAAGAUUAUAAAACUUUAUUAUGUUAUGCUUUCAAACUUAAGUUAGA